rnacentral:rRNA from 2 species
CUGAUUGAACGUGCUUGCACGGACUUGACGUUGGUUUACCAGCGAGUGGCGGACGGGUGAGUAACACGUAGGUAACCUGCCCCAAAGCGGGGGAUAACAUUUGGAAACAGAUGCUAAUACCGCAUAACAAUUUGAAUCGCAUGAUUCAAAUUUAAAAGAUGGCUUCGGCUAUCACUUUGGGAUGGACCUGCGGCGCAUUAGCUUGUUGGUAGGGUAACGGCCUACCAAGGCUGUGAUGCGUAGCCNAGUUGAGAGACUGAUCGGCCACAAUGGAACUGAGACACGGUCCAUACUCCUACGGGAGGCAGCAGUAGGGAAUCUUCCACAAUGGGCGCAAGCCUGAUGGAGCAACACCGCGUGAGUGAAGAAGGGUUUCGGCUCGUAAAGCUCUGUUGUUAGAGAAGAACGUGCGUGAGAGCAACUGUUCACGCAGUGACGGUAUCUAACCAGAAAGUCACGGCUAACUACGUGCCAGCAGCCGCGGUAAUACGUAGGUGGCAAGCGUUAUCCGGAUUUAUUGGGCGUAAAGCGAGCGCAGGCGGUUUGAUAAGUCUGAUGUGAAAGCCUUUGGCUUAACCAAAGAAGUGCAUCGGAAACUGUCAGACUUGAGUGCAGAAAAAGGACAGUGGAACUCCCUUGGUGUAGCGGUGGAAUGCGUAAAAUUUAUGGAAGAACCCCAGUGGCNAAAGGCNGGCUGUCUGGUCUGCAACUGACGCUNAGGCUCGAAAGCAUGGGUAGCGAACAGGAUUANAAUACCCUGGUAGUCCAUGCCNUAAACNAUNAAAUGCUAANGGNGUUUGGAAGGUUUNCCCCCCUUCAGUGCCGCAACUNACGCAUUAANCCUCCCNCCCGGGGAAACCAC